UACGUAGGGUGCAAGCGUUUGUCCGGAAUUAUUGGGCGUAAAGAGCUCGUAGGCGGUCUGUCACGUCGGAUGUGAAAACUCGGGGCUCAACCCCGAGCCUGCAUACGAUACGGGCAGACUUGAGUUCGGCAGGGGAGACUGGAAUUCCUGGUGUAGCGGUGAAAUGCGCAGAUAUCAGGAGGAACACCGGUGGCGAAGGCGGGUCUCUGGGCCGAUACUGACGCUGAGGAGCGAAAGCGUGGGGAGCGAACAGG
rnacentral:rRNA from 1 species